AAUUGUAGGUUGCUCCUUGAUCUAAGUCAAUGAAAUCUGGACGAGGUCCCUGGGAUGUAGGAAACGAACCCCGUUAACAAACUUUGUGUCUAUUUUACUUUCUGCACUAGUUUCUCUGCCCUCACUACAUUAACAAGUGGUAUUAGAGCGGGGCUCGAUAGAGUUAACGACUUAGUUUCGAGUAGAUCAAGGUGAGGACAGAAACUUGUUCAGGAAGUAGAACAAAGUUUGAUUGGAGAUCGCUGAAGAUGGCGUGAUGGGAUUUCUUCAUAGAUUUGGAAGGUGUUGAUCUUCGAAUUGGUUUUUGACCAUGAUGUGACUCAUAGGGGGAGAUUGAAGACGUGGUUUUCAAACCAGUUAUGAUGAGUGCACAUGCAUAGUCAAAAAGGGGGAGAUUGAAGAUGUAGAUUCCUCAGAUGUUCUGUAUUAGUUUGUGAAGUACUACAGGAGGUACUACAAGCGUGUGGCAUGAAGAUGGAGCUGAAUGAGAGUUCGGGUUUAUUGAUGAUCGUGGGCUUCCUGAGUUAGAAAAGGAAAGAUGAUAUGUGCUUGAAGACAUAUGGACAUUUUCCAUAAAGCAAAAGGAGUUUGCUUGAAGGUGAAGUUUUCCAAUAAAGAUAAUGGAAAGUUACCUUAUGUGUAUUGGAAAGACUUGGAGAGCAAGUGGAAGACUUGGAGAUUAAGUUAAAGACGUGGAGAACAAGUUCUGGUCUGCUAUAUAAGGAGGGACGUGCCUUAUGAGAAAGUAAGACCUCACAUAAUAGAAGAGUAAGAGGAUCUCAUUGUAUAUUGGUGUAUCUGCUUGGUGUCGAAGCAGUGUCUGUAGUAGUUGUCGAUGGAGUCUGAUGUGGACUUAGUUUGGUGUCCUUGGUGUUGGCGCUUUGUGUGGUGGAGUUAGCCAUCGUGUGUGGAGCUCGUGGGUAGCUUCGUGUGUGCUUGGGUGAUCAAGCUUGGUGUCAUUGCUGUGCGUUAGGUGCUGACGUACUUGGUGAAGUACUUCCGAGAAGUGGAAGAUCGAAGCCUAGACUCAGGGGGAGUUUAGCAAAGGAGGUUUCAUUGAAGAGGUCUGUGAAGAUUGCAGCUGUAGAAGACAGUGUGCUAUGGCGUGUCCGGAUGGGAUCCGUUGUAUUCCUAAUCUUUGUAGAUUGCUCCUUAGAAAAGAGUGGUAGACACUCGUGUGUGUUGUACCAUAUAGCAAUUGUAGGUUGCUCCUUGUUCUAAGUCAAUGAAAUCUAGACGAGGUCCCGGGAAUGUAGGAAACGAACCCCGUUAACAAACUUUGUGUCUAUUUUACUUUCUGCACUAGUUUCUCUGCCCUCACUAUAUUAACAGAGGUCAUGUGCCACUCCCGACGUCGAAGCUUCAACGCGCCGCCCCUAAUCGAUCAGGUUUUUCGCUUGAUGUGCCAGUCGUGGAUGUUAGAUGUGAGUUGUUAGAUGUGAGCAGUAGGAGGCACAUAUCCAGCAGACGAGUGUUUGUAGAGGUAUUGGGAAUAAAAACAAAUACGAGCAUUUCUUUCUCUCUACUCGACUUUAAGAAAUAGCUUCAGCAGGAGUCUUUCGUUUCUCUUGUGUAUGGUCUAAGGAACAGAGUGCAGAUCGACCAACCUUCUGGAUUCCAACAAUGUCUGAUUGAAAGCGGUUAACAAUGAGUCUAUGACCUAUGCGGAGAAACAAAAUAGUUAAAUAGACUAUGAAAAACUUUGCUUUCAAUUAAUGAGAAGGAACAGUUGAAGAUGAAUAAUGGUAAAUGCCUCAACUGGUCUAUACAAAAGAUGCACUCGGCAUGAAGAAUAGACUUCAAAUUAAGCGUAACUGAGCAAAGGCCUGACAUUCACUCUCAGCAUAACGUACGAGUUCUACUGGAUCUCUAUCUAUCCCCCUGAAGAGUUUGUCGUUCUUAGCCUUCUAGAUAUACCAGAUUAUCCAAGGAUAAGAAUCUCUAUCCUGUUCAGAUUUUUGCAGAUCAUCAUCGUUCGUCAGAUCUAUGUUUCCGAAAUUCAGGUAUAAGUUUGAUUCUCCUCUUUGAACUGGUGGUAUACUCGAUGGUGUUCAUGUGAAGUAUGUUGCUUUCUCACGUGAGAGCUUCCAGAAGUUAUCAAAGAGUCAGAUUUUAACUAUGAGAUGUCAAGCAUGUGAUUCCACAAAGACUUUAAUUCAAUCAGGGUGCUUAAUGUGUAUGCAUUUGGAGGGAGCGGAGUGAUUAAUAAUGUGAAUCAUUCCAACCAGCGGUUCAGGAACUUCAGCUUAUGUACGCCAAAGAAGAUUGUUUCUUUUGAAUGUAUAAUUAUGUACAAAUUGUAAGAUUGUAAACAGCUUACUGGAUCUUACUUAGUGUAAAAAUUUUGGUUCCAAAAAAAGUUGUAUCUUCUCCAUCGUCCAUCCCUUCGUUAAAUCUUUCUUUAUGUAACAUUUAGGUAAACCCAAAUUUUCAUCCAUCAGUA